ACGGAAGGCAGCAGUCGGGAAUAUUGCGUAAUGGAGGGAACUCUGACGCAGUGACGCCGCGUAUAGGAAGAAGGUUUUAGGAUUGUAAACUAUUUUAGACAGGGAAGAAAAAAGACAGUACCUGUAGAAUAAGCUCCGGCUAACUACGUGCCAGCAGCCGCGGUAAUACGUAGGGAGCAAGCGUUAUCCGGAAUUAUUGGGUGGAAAGGGUGCGUAGACGGGACGACAAGUUGGUUGUGAAAUCCCUCGGCUUAACUGAGGAACUGCAACCAAAACUAUCAUUCUUGAGUGCAGGAGGGGAAAGCGGAAUUCCUAGUGUAGCGGUGAAAUGCGUAGAUAUUAGGAGGAACACCAGUGGCGAAGGCGGCUUUCUGGACUGUAACUGACGUUGAGGCACGAAAGUGUGGGGAGCAAACAGGAUUAGAUACCCUGGUA
rnacentral:rRNA from 1 species